UUUUGAAACAAAGCAUUUGCCUUUAUCUCUUCCGAGGCAUCCAGAAACCUCCCACUGUGGACUGUUCAGUUCACUCACAGAAGGACUUUCUAACUCCUCAUGGGUUUCUUUCUGAGCUUAGAGAUCGCUCGGAUGACAGCUUAAUAAAGGGCAGAAAGAACAAAGUGGAAAGAUACAGACACCCUCUGAGGCCUGUCCUGGAGGCAUGAUGCAACCAUUAGGAAGAGGGAGUGGCUGAGAGGUGGCAGCUCCAAAUGCCCUGUUGGAAAGUUGAGCAAGGGCAGAAAAGAUGUCAACCUGGAAGCUGGAGAUGCCACGCGGAGCUGGGGAGCCCAGGGCCAAUCAGCAGGACUCACCUCCCUCUGGAUGGACCGGCUGAGAAAC